rnacentral:tRNA from 1 species
GGCACGGUGGCGCAGUGGGUAGUGCUUUUGCCUCACAGCAAGAAGGUCACUGGUUCGAGUCCUGGCUGGGUCA